UAUUUUGCAGACACGAGGAGCGGGUGAAAUGAAUAAUAUGUGCUUUUGAUUCCAGUUUGAGACAUCACUUCAGCGCUGGUCUUCGAAGAAUAAAGACGAGUCUCCUCCAUGCGAAGAAAAUUUCAACAGAAAUUGCUAUCAUUUGUCGAUUGCUAUCGUCUUCAGCAGAAGAGAAGUUUAAUAGAAGUUUACUAUCUCUGACAGACUGUCGUUGGUGUAAUACCAGAAUUUUGACGUAUUAAAGCGAAGUUAAACGAUGAAAUUUGUGAACAAAAGAUUGAUGACCGAUGAAUUGUGGCUGAACUGACUCAAGAUAACUCGCCUUUGAAGAGAAAGCAAGUCUAGGCUUUUCCUUUUUCUGGGGAAUAUUGAUGAUAUGAGAAAGGUGGAGUUUGAGAGCUUAAAACCAAACUGAUUGAAGCGAAGUGGGCAAAAAGUCCGUUACCGUAGCUGAAAUUGCCCGAGACGACUCGCAUUUGACUCAAAAUAACUCGCCUUUAAAGAGAGAGCACGUUUACGCAUUUUCUUGGGACUCAGUGUUGAUGA